AUAGACAUGACGGACGUGGACCAAAGUGUAGUAUCCGUUCUUCUCAGCUUAAUAUCUGUUACGGGUUGUAUUUGAACCCAACAUGUUAAACUUAUUUUUGCAAGUUGGCGGAGUGCUUGAAGCCUGCUUCACCUCCACCACCUAUCGGCCCUUUAUUGCACUAUCUUCGGGAUCGGCCCACGGUUU